rnacentral:rRNA from 5 species
GGGUUGUGAGGUUAAGCGACUAAGCGUACACGGUGGAUGCCCUGGCAGUCAGAGGCGAUGAAGGACGUGCUAAUCUGCGAUAAGCGUCGGUAAGGUGAUAUGAACCGUUAUAACCGGCGAUUUCCGAAUGGGGAAACCCAGUGUGAUUCGUCACACUAUCAUU